AUGCUAUGUUGCCUUUGCCACGGCAGAAGAAAUUUUUUAUAUAACAUGAGAUUCUUCUCUUAGUCAAAGUUGUGCUCACUUUUCUUCGGCGGGCAUUACUUGCAAAAGCUCAAUGUUUAGCUCGAAUGUAGCUCCUGGUGGGAUUUCGUUCAUUCCCUUUUGGCCAUAGCCAGCCUCCGGAGGAACAAUUACGGUCCUCUGCUAGUUGAGCUUAUAAUUACAAAUGGAGGAGGAUGCUUCCUCCUACUUUCAUCCCUUGUGUUACUGAGUACAUAGCAGCUGG
rnacentral:misc_RNA from 1 species